rnacentral:rRNA from 1 species
GAUGAACGCUGGCGGCGUGCCUAAUACAUGCAAGUCGAGCGAACAGACGAGGAGCUUGCUCUUCUGACGUUAGCGGCGGACGGGUGAGUAACACGUGGAUAACCUACCUGUAAGCCUGGGAUAACUACGGGAAACCGGAGCUAAUACCGGAUAAUAUAUUGAACCGCAUGGUUCAAUAGUGAAAGACGGUUUUGCUGUCACAUCUAGAUGGAUUCGUGUCGCAUUAGCUAGUUGUUAAGUUAACGGCUUACCAAGGCAACGAUGCGUAGCCGACCUGAGAGGGUGAUCGGCCACACUGGAACUGAGACACGGUCCAGACUCCUACGGGAGGCAGCAGAAGGGAAUCUUCGGCAAUGGGGGAAAUCUUGACGGAGCAACGCGGCGUGAGUGAUGAAGGUCUCCGGAUCUAAAAACUCUGUUAUAGGGGAAGAACAAAUUUGGAAGUAAAAGUGCACGUCGUGACGGUACCUAAUCAGAAAGCCACGGCUAACUACGUG